CCUACGGGGGGCAGCAGUCGAGAAUCAUUCACAAUGGGGGAAACCCUGAUGGUGCGACGCCGCGUGGGGGAAUGAAGGUCUUCGGAUUGUAAACCCCUGUCAUGUGGGAGCAAAUUAAAAAGAUAGUACCACAAGAGGAAGAGACGGCUAACUCUGUGCCAGCAGCCGCGGUAAUACAGAGGUCUCAAGCGUUGUUCGGAAUCACUGGGCGUAAAGCGUGCGUAGGCUGUUUCGUAAGUCGUGUGUGAAAGGCGCGGGCUCAACCCGCGGACGGCACAUGAUACUGCGAGACUAGAGUAAGGGAGGGGGAACCGGAAUUCUCGGUGUAGCAGUGAAAUGCGUAGAUAUCGGGAGGAACACUCGUGGCGAAGGCGGGUUCCUGGACAUUAACUGACGCUGAGGCACGAAGGCCAGGGGAGCGAAAGGGAUUAGAUACCCCUGUAGUC
rnacentral:rRNA from 1 species